GAAAACUUUGUACGACCUGACAUCCCUGCUACUUGGGGAGUUAUGGAAAAGUUAUAUGACACUGGAAAAGCUCGUGCAAUAGGUGUGAGUAACUUCUCAAUAAAGAAACUGGGUGACUUGCUUGUUGUAGCUCGUGUACAUCCAGCUGUUAAUCAGGUGGAAUGUCAUCCGGGUUGGCAGCAAACUAAACUCCACAACUUUUGUCAGUCAACCGGUAUUCAUCUUUCUGCAUAUUCACCACUAGGUUCACCUGGUACGCCUUGGAUGAACAGUAAUAUCCUUCAACAACCAGUCAUCAUCUCAAUAGCAAAUAAACUUGGGAGAACUGCUGCACAGGUGGCCCUGCGCUGGAACAUUCAGAUGGGUCAUAGUGUACUACCAAAGAGCUUGAACGUUGAAAGGAUAAAACAAAAUCUUGAUGUUUAUGAUUGGUCUAUUCCAGAUGACUUGCUUGCUAUUUUUUAUACCCUAUACUUAAAUGGGGGAAAAUUGCAAUGA
rnacentral:rRNA from 1 species